CCCCCCUGCCCUGCCGCUGCCCUGCUGCUGUUGCCGCCUGUCGCCGUCGCCGGUCGCCGCCGUCGCCUCCGUCAAGGCCAAUCCUGCCGCCUCACCGCUCUUGCCACCGCACGGUUCCGCCGUCGACUCCCACGAAUUUGCAAGAAUGAGUGAUAAUCGAUCGUGGAUGUACG